AACGUAGGUACCGAGCGUUAUCCGGAUUUACUGGGCGUAAAGCGCGUUCAGGCGGUUUGGCAAGUCGGGCAUGAAAUCUCUCGGCUCAACCGGGAGAGGUUGUCCGAUACUGCUGGACUUGAGGGCAGUAGAGGGUGGUGGAAUUCCGGGUGUAGUGGUGAAAUGCGUAGAUAUCCGGAGGAACACCAGUGGCGAAAGCGGCCACCUGGACUGUACCUGACGCUAACACGCGAAAGCUAGGGGAGCGAACGGGG
rnacentral:rRNA from 1 species